rnacentral:rRNA from 1 species
AUUGAACGCUGGCGGCAGGCUUAACACAUGCAAGUCGAGCGGAGAGAGGUAGCUUGCUACUGAUCUUAGCGGCGGACGGGUGAGUAAUGCUUAGGAAUCUGCCUAUUAGUGGGGGACAACAUUUCGAAAGGAAUGCUAAUACCGCAUACGUCCUACGGGAGAAAGCAGGGGAUCUUCGGACCUUGCGCUAAUAGAUGAGCCUAAGUCGGAUUAGCUAGUUGGUGGGGUAAAGGCCUACCAAGGCGACGAUCUGUAGCGGGUCUGAGAGGAUGAUCGGCCACACUGGGACGGAGACACGGCCCAGACUCCUACGGGAGGCAGCAGUGGGGAAUAUUGGACAAUGGGCGGAAGCCUGAUCCAGCCAUGCCGCGUGUGUGAAGAAGGCCUUAUGGUUGUAAAGCACUUUAAGCGAGGAGGAGGCUACUUUAGUUAAUACCUAGAGAUAGUGGACGUUACUCGCAGAAUAGGCACCGGCUAACUCUGUGCCAGCCGCCGCCGCUGUAA